rnacentral:rRNA from 1 species
UACGUAGGGAGCGAGCGUUGUCCGGAAUCAUUGGGCGUAAAGAGCAUGUAGGUGGAUCAAUUAGUCUGCUGUGAAAGUCAAAGGCUCAACCUUUGAAAGCCGGUGGAUACUGUUGGUCUAGAGUACGGAAGAGGCGAGUGGAAUUCCUGGUGUAGCGGUGGAAUGCGCAGAUAUCAGGAGGAACACCAAUAGCGAAGGCAGCUCGCUGGGACGUUACUGACACUGAGGCGCGAAAGCGUGGGGAGCGAACAGG